rnacentral:rRNA from 1 species
GAAGGCUGAAAUUCGCCUUCCAUGAAGCUGGAAUUGCUGUAAUGGCAGGUCAGCAUACUGCCGUGAAUACGUUCCCGGGCCUUGUACACACCGCCCGUCACACCAUGAGAGUUGGAAAUACCCGAAGCCUGUGAGCUAACAGUAAUGAGGCAGCAGUCGAAGGUAGAGCCAAUGAUUGGGGUGAAGUCGUAACAAGGUAAC